CUGGGCAAAAUUCUUUGUGGCAUUUCGUCUGUCUUUAUGUUCUGAGUUCAAAUUCUGCCGAAGUCGACUUUGCUUUUCAUCCUUUUGGGGUCGAUAAAAUAAGUACCAGUUGAACACUGGGGUCAAUGUAAUCGGUCUCAUCCCCACCUCCCUCAAGCUACCCCUGUGGCAAAAUUUGAAA